rnacentral:lncRNA from 1 species
GCACUCGCUGAGGCCCCGACGCAGGGCCGGGCCGGGCCCAGGGCCGGGGAGCGCAGCGGCCAGAGCGGGGCCGCGGAGGCGACGCCGGGGACGCCCGCGCGACGAGCAGGUGGCGGCGGCUGCAGCACGUGACUGAUACACCUGCCUCCCAUCCCCUCCGCACUUUGACCUCGUAAACAAGUGGUCUGACACAACAGGGUUUGAGUUACUUGCCGGAGGUUAUGUCACGGACCGGCAGGGCCGCCUUUAGGCUUACAUCCCUGGAACUCCCACCUCCACAGAUCCGUCCGGGUGCUGAAAGUCCGUGGAUGCUAUCCCUGGUCAAAUCAGAGGUAGGUGGGAAAUGUU